UACGUAGGGGGCAAGCGUUGUCCGGAGUUAUUGGGCGUAAAGAGCGUGUAGGCGGCCAGGCAGGUCUGCUGUGAAAACUCGAGGCUCAACCUCGAGACGUCGGCGGAAACCAUCUGGCUAGAGUCCGGAAGAGGAGAGUGGAAUUCCUGGUGUAGCGGUGAAAUGCGCAGAUAUCAGGAAGAACACCCGUGGCGAAGGCGGCUCUCUGGGACGGUACUGACGCUGAGACGCGAAAGCGUGGGGAGCGAACAGG
rnacentral:rRNA from 1 species